GACGAACGCUGGCGGCGUGCUUAACACAUGCAGGUCGAACGGAAAGGCCCUGCUUUUGUGGGGUGCUCGAGUGGCGAACGGGUGAGUAACACGUGAGUAACCUGCCCUUGACUUUGGGAUAACUUCAGGAAACUGGGGCUAAUACCGGAUAGGAGCUCCUGCUGCAUGGUGGGGGUUGGAAAGUUUCGGCGGUUGGGGAUGGACUCGCGGCUUAUCAGCUUGUUGGUGGGGUAGUGGCUUACCAAGGCUUUGACGGGUAGCCGGCCUGAGAGGGUGACCGGCCACAUUGGGACUGAGAUACGGCCCAGACUCCUACGGGAGGCAGCAGUGGGGAAUAUUGCACAAUGGGCGGAAGCCUGAUGCAGCAACGCCGCGUGCGGGAUGACGGCCUUCGGGUUGUAAACCGCUAUCGCCUGUGACGAAGCGUGAGUGACGGUAAUGGGUAAAGAAGCACCGGCUAACUACGUG
rnacentral:rRNA from 1 species